GGGUGAGAGCUCGGGUUCAGACAGAGGCAGGGGGAGCCUGGAAGGAGCACAGAGUGAAGACGGAGCCCCUGUACCCCCAGAGGCAUCUCUCAGCCAUCCCAGCCCUACUGAACCAAGUCCUUACCCUGGGAGCACUGCUGAGAGCUCACCUGCCACACCUUCACCUGGGGUGUGAGGACAGGAAGAAUGGUCAACAUAAGUACAUUUGGCACAGAGAAUGGCCAGGGACCCCAGAGAGGAGAGCCAGAAGUCCCGGGAUGUUCGGGAAGCCCACUGUUGGGGUCUGAGAAAUGUGGGAUUCCAGAUGUUCACAAGUUUAUAAAGCAUUUGGGGAAACCACUGGAAGCUUCGCGGAUACAGUUUCAGGUUCUGAAAUGAUCAUUGUUUACCACUUGAUUCACCCUUUGGUUUCCAGGCUCAUGGAGCAGCUCGUCUUAUAUGUUCACAGCUUGUAAGAAAAGCACCAAGUUGGCAGAGCGAGGUGGCUCAUGCCUGUAAUUCCAGCACUUUGGGAGCCCAAGGAAAGGAAAGGACUGAAGACUUAGGGAAGAAACGAAGUGGCUUCUUGAAGGACUUGUGCAAAGAAGGGUGGAGAAUCCGCUUUUUGAAA